CGUACGAUAAUUUCAGCUGAUUCACCUGGGCGACGGCAGAAAAGCGGACAGGUAGUUUAAUGCUGGAAAGUGAAGCCCGCACAGUUAGUGUCCGUCCAGCAGUGGUUGGGAAAGGAAGUAAGGGAACGAUUUAAAAACGAAGGAAGACGGUGAGAACGAGCAGUUGGCGGACAACGGACACCACUAGAUAAAG